UGGAAACAGAUGCUAAUACCGCAUAAAUCCAAGAACCGCAUGGUUCUUGGCUGAAAGAUGGCGUAAGCUAUCGCUUUUGGAUGGACCCGCGGCGUAUUAGCUAGUUGGUGAGGUAACGGCUCACCAAGGCAAUGAUACGUAGCCGAACUGAGAGGUUGAUCGGCCACAUUGGGACUGAGACACGGCCCAAACUCCUACGGGAGGCAGCAGUAGGGAAUCUUCCACAAUGGACGCAAGUCUGAUGGAGCAACGCCGCGUGAGUGAAGAAAGGCUUUCGGGUCGUAAAACUCUGUUGUUGGAGAAGAAUGGUCGGCAGAGUAACUGUUGUCGGCGUGACGGUAUCCAACCAGAAAGCCACGGCUAACUACGUGCCAGCAGCCGCGGUAAUACGUAGGUGGCAAGCGUUAUCCGGAUUUAUUGGGCGUAAAGCGAGCGCAGGCGGUUUUUUAAGUCUGAUGUGAAAGCCCUCGGCUUAACCGAGGAAGUGCAUCGGAAACUGGGAAACUUGAGUGCAGAAGAGGACAGUGGAACUCCAUGUGUAGCGGUGAAAUGCGUAGAUAUAUGGAAGAACACCAGUGGCGAAGGCGGCUGUCUGGUCUGUAACUGACGCUGAGGCUCGAAAGCAUGGGUAGCGAACAGGAUUAGAUACCCUGGUAGUCCAUGCCGUAAACGAUGAAUGCUAGGUGUUGGAGGGUUUCCGCCCUUCAGUGCCGCAGCUAACGCAUUAAGCAUUCCGCCUGGGGAGUACGACCGCAAGGUUGAAACUCAAAGGAAUUGACGGGGGCCCGCACAAGCGGUGGAGCAUGUGGUUUAAUUCGAAGCAACGCGAAGAACCUUACCAGGUCUUGACAUCUUUUGAUCACCUGAGAGAUCAGGUUUCCCCUUCGGGGGCAAAAUGACAGGUGGUGCAUGGUUGUCGUCAGCUCGUGUCGUGAGAUGUUGGGUUAAGUCCCGCAACGAGCGCAACCCUUAUGACUAGUUGCCAGCAUUUAGUUGGGCACUCUAGUAAGACUGCCGGUGACAAACCGGAGGAAGGUGGGGAUGACGUCAAAUCAUCAUGCCCCUUAUGACCUGGGCUACACACGUGCUACAAUGGAUGGUACAACGAGUUGCGAGACCGCGAGGUCAAGCUAAUCUCUUAAAGCCAUUCUCAGUUCGGACUGUAGGCUGCAACUCGCCUACACGAAGUCGGAAUCGCUAGUAAUCGCGGAUCAGCACGCCGCGGUGAAUACGUUCCCGGGCCUUGUACACACCGCCCGUCACACCAUGAGAGUUUGUAACACCCGAAGCCGGUGGCGUAACCCUUUUAGGGAGCGAGCCGUCUAAGG
rnacentral:rRNA from 1 species